rnacentral:rRNA from 1 species
GACGGAGGGUGCUAGCGUUGUUCGGAAUCACUGGGCGUAAAGGGCGCGUAGGCGGCGCAGCGUGUCGGCUUGUGAAAGCCCGGGGCUCAACCCCGGAGGUGCGGCCGAAACUGCUGUGCUGGAGGCCGGAAGAGGAGGGUGGAAUACCCAGUGUAGAGGUGAAAUUCGUAGAUAUUGGGAGGAACACCAGUGGCGAAGGCGGCUACCUGGACCGGUUCUGACGCUGAGGCGCGAAAGCGUGGGGAGCAAACAGG